rnacentral:RNase_P_RNA from 2 species
CAGAUCAGUUAGAUGAUCGCCCCCUCACUUACUUUACUGCUAAGCUGUAUUAAUGAUAUUGACUGUAAUUACCCACAAGAGUGAUUUACUGUAAAGUCAGGCUCGGUAAAGUAGGCGAGGGGGAGGAAAGUCCGAACACCGCAAAAAAUGGUAGUGGGUAACGCCCACCCUUGGCCGUGCAAACGGCUAAGAGGACCAGUGCCACAGAGACAAUACUAGCGAGUCCCGCUUGUGGGACGAGCUACCCCGCCCUUUUUUGUUCUUAAUAACUAAAUAAAUGUAUCACGUUUAUUUACUGCGAAGUAAAAUUAGCUAUAGAAAAUUCUAUAUCGGAUUUACUUCCAGAAAAAUCAACGAGCGCAUCAAAGAUCACAAUUAUGGUGCAGUUGGUGCAACCAAAUUGUAUCGACCUUGGAGCUUAAUUUAUCUAGAGACGUACGUAUCUGAAAGCGAUGCCAGAAAGAGAGAAAAGAUGUUAAAGCAGUACGGCAGUUCUCUAGGUCAAUUAAAGAAAAGGUUAUUUGAUACAUUAAAUAAGGACUAAAAAGGGCGGGGUUUGCUCACCUUAAUAGGUUAGGGUUCGCAAAACGUGAAAAGUGUCGUAGUGUAUUUCGUUGAAUACGGGAUAUCCCUUCAAAGCAAUGCUAUACGACUCGGCGCCUGGUGACAGGCAGCCCGUGGUAAACUCUACCUGGUGCAAUGCCAAAUUUGGUAGGCAGCUUGAGUCCGGCGGCAACGCCGUGACCUAGAUAGAUGAUCAUUACCCCGAUUUUACAUCGGGAAACAGAAUUCGGCUUACGGCUGGUCUGAACA